GAAACGCGAUAGUUAAUGUGAAUUGCAGAAUUCAGUGAAUCAUCGAGUCUUUGAACGCACAUUGCGCCCAUAGGUAUUCCUUUGGGCAUGUCUGUUUGGGCGUCAUUACAACCCUCAGCUAACCGCUGGUUUUGAACCUGAACGGGUGACACUGCGCCGGUUUUAAAGUUGUAAGCUCUGCUGGCCGCUCUGCCCAACCAGAACAUAGUAAGCACUACUUGUCCGGGUGAAGCUGAACGGUACGGCCUGAACAAAACCUACCCACUCUCAAGGUUUGACCUCAGAUCAGACAAGGAUACCCGCUGAACUUAAGC
rnacentral:misc_RNA from 1 species